CUCAGUAUGGACAUGAGGGCCCCUGCUCAGUUCCUGGUGCUCCUCCUGCUCUGGCUUCCAGGUGCCAGAUGUGACAUCCAGAUGACCCAGUCUCCAUCCUCCCUCUCUGCAUCUCUGGGAGACAGAGUCACCAUCACUUGCAGGGCAAGUCAGGAUAUUAGCAGAUAUUUAAUCUGGCUGCAGCAGAAACCAGGGAAAGCUCCUAAGCGCCUGAUCUACUAUACAUCAAACUUGGAUGAUGGGGUACCAUCGAGGUUCAGUGGCAGUGGGUCUGGGACAGAUUAUUCUCUCACCAUCAGCAACCUGGAGUCUGAAGACGCUGCAACUUAUUACUGUCUACAGUAUGAUAUUUAUCCUCCCACAUUGAUACAAGUUAUAACAUAA